GAUUUGUCUUCAUUUUACAGGAUGAGCCUGCUUCUCAGACUGACCAUCCAGUCCAAAGGACUCCAACUUUCUGCUUUAAUUAAAAGUCCCCCUUAACACCACAAUUCUUGCCUGACCACUUCCAAGAGCUUCCUCCCAAACUUGGUCUGAAAAUAUUGAAGGAGUUACUGGAGAAAUUGAGCAAGAGCGUGUAGGAGGCCUGGUCUGCCAGGCAUUGCAGAAAAGUGACAGAGUUCCCACGGGCAGGAUGCCUGCCCUCCCGCCAGGGCCCCUCACUGGGAACCACAUUCUCUAAACCCUGGCACUAAAAAGGAGCAGCCACCUGUCAGGUACCCUCGGGAGCAACCUGUGGCUGCCGAGAGUCUGACCGCCUGUGGAUUACAGGUCAAGGAAAGGUCUGGGCAGGCAGGGGCUCAGCCGCCUCCUGAGAGGUGAGAAACCAGAGGCUUAGGGAGAUGUCAUUUGCCCAAAAGCUCCGGAAGAAAGUCAACCCACACUCAGGAGAGAGCGGCGCUACGGGAAGACAAGAGAUGUGAACUGGGAGCUCAGCUCCCUUCCCCACUGGAGGCCUCACCAUCAGUCAGUCCUCCAAACCGCAGCGAGUCACUCGGAGGUGCCUCCUGGUCCCUACCAGGGUCAGCAGGGUGAAAGCGGCUCCAAGCCUUCAGCCGACUCAAACUCCAAAACUUCUUGAGGUAAAGGCUGGAGGCUGUGUGGAUGAGAGGCUUAGGCGCUGAGGUCUCUUGGUUCAGAUUUGGCCCAGAGGCCCCUCCUCAGGCCCACCUGCUGCCUGAGUGAGCAGGGACACCUCACUCCUGAGGAAGAGUCACCGAGGUGCUGCCGUUUGUCUGGAUGGAGGAGCUGAGGGCUCUGGCAGCCACCGCUGCUAUGGGGGGAUGCUAACAAUAGACCGGGAGUUUACUAUAUGCCAGCAGGACACAAGCCUAACAACUCUGUGAAGUAGGCAGUUGUGAGUGUCUCCAUUUCACAGAUGAGGAAACUGAGGCUCAGAAGUUGACACUUGGUUGUGAUCAUACAGAAUCUACUUUCUUCGCUUGGCUUCCUGGACGCCAGGCUUUCCUGAUCUUCCUCACUUCUCUGGCUGCUUCUGUCUUCCCUGUGGGCUGCUCCUUCUAUCCGGCAGUUGCUGUAGGCCCCAAGCCAUAGUCUGCAGUGCUCUUUCCUGUCCAUACUGACUCCCUCGGAGUGAUUUUUUUUUUAAUAUUUUUUAUUUAUUUUUAUUUUUAUUUUUGCUGAGGAAGACUGGCCCUGAGCUAACAUCCACUGCCAA